rnacentral:rRNA from 1 species
UACGGGAGGCAGCAGUGGGGAAUAUUGCACAAUGGGCGCAAGCCUGAUGCAGCCAUGCCGCGUGUAUGAAAAAGGCCUUCGGGUUGUACAGUACUUUCAGUCGUGAGGAAGGUGUUAAGGUUAAUAACCUUAGCAAUUGACGUUAGCGACAGAAGAAGCACCGGCUAACUCCGUGCCAGCAGCCGCGGUAAUACGGAGGGUGCGAGCGUUAAUCGGAAUUACUGGGCGUAAAGGGCACGCAGGCGGUUAAUUAAGUUGGAUGUGAAAUCCCCGGGCUUAACCUGGGAAUGGCAUUCAAGACUGGUUAGCUAGAGUCUUGUAGAGGGGGGUAGAAUUCCAUGUGUAGCGGUGAAAUGCGUAGAGAUGUGGAGGAAUACCGGUGGCGAAGGCGGCCCCUGGACAAAGACUGACGCUCAUGUGCGAAAGCGUGGGGAGCAAACGAGGGAUUAGAUACC